AGCAAACAGCAUGUACAAAGAUCCAGAGGCUGGAGAGCACAUAGUUCAUUUAGGAAGGAGCAGAGGACAAAGUAUGGACCAUCGUGUCUCACGAUUUGCAGACGCAGAUGGCGGUGGUGCGCUACAACCCAGAAGAAUACUCAGCUCAUUUUCAGCGCCUCCAUGUGGGCAGGAUGUCACCUAUUUCUGCAAGGUGUCGAGGUUGUGGAACCCCCCAGACACCUUUUCAGAGGAUGAACUACUAGAUUGAAAUCAAGAGUGAACUGUUAGGGCUUCCCUGGUGGCACAGUCAUUAAGAAUCCUCCUGCCAAUGCAGGGGACACUGGUUCGAGCCCUGGUCCGGGAAGAUCCCACAUGCCAUGGAGCAACUAAGCCCACGCGCCAUAACUACUGAGCCUGCGCUCUAGAGCCCGCAAGCCACAACUACUGAGCCCGUGAGCCACAACUACUGAGCCCGUGUGCCACAACUACUGAAGCCCGUGCGCCUUGAGCCCGUGCUCCACAGCAAGAGAAGCCACUGCAAUGAGAAGCCCGCACACCACGACGAAGAGUAGCCCCCGCUCGCCGCAACUAGAGAAAGCCCACGUGCAGCAACUGAGACCCAACGCAGCCAAAAAUAAAUAAAUAAAAUAAAUUAAUUAAAAAAAGAAAAGAGUGAACUGUUAAUCUGCACAGUAAGCAC